GUGCUUGCUUUGGCAGCACAUGCACUAAAAUUGGAACGAUAAAGAGAUUAGCACAGCCUCUGGACAAAGACGACAUGCGAAUUCAUGAAGCAUUCCAUAUUUUU